rnacentral:sRNA from 1 species
GUUUGCACUCAUCGGGGAAGGGUGAGAACCUUCGACUAAGGUUCGAUUCGAGCGAAAGCGAGAGAACGUUGCCACAGGCAACGGCCCGAAGGGUGAGGAGCGAAGCGACGAAUAAUCCUUCCCCCACCCCAU